GACGAACGCUGGCGGCGUGCCUAAUACAUGCAAGUCGAACGCAGUGGCGACGGGUAAGUAACACGUGGGUAGGUUCCCAUCAGAGGGGAUACCACUUUGAAGCAGGUGCUAAACCGGUACUGAUGGAUGGACCGGCGGUGGAUUAGCUAGUUGGUGAGGGAACGGCUCACCAAGGCCACGAUGCAUAACCGACCUGAGAGAGUGGUCGGCCACACUGGGACUGAGACACGGCCCAGACUCCUACGGUAGGCCGCAGUAGGGAAUCGUCGGCAAUGGACGAAAGUCUGACCGAGCCAUGCCGCGUGAGUGAAGAAGGUUUUCGGAUCGUAAAGCUCUGUUGUUAGAGAAGCGGUAUCUAACCAGAAAGCCACGGCUAACUACGUGCCAGCAGCCGCGGUAAUUC
rnacentral:rRNA from 1 species